UUGCAGUUUUCUAGAUGAGAUAGUGGUA
rnacentral:piRNA from 1 species